UUACGGCCACAUCACGUUGAAACAUUGGUUCCCGUACGAUCACUGAAGUUAAGCAAAGUUGAGUCUGGUCAGUACGUAGAUGGGUGACCGCUUG